UAGGAACAGAAUCCACAUAAUUGAGACCUGGGACAUUAUUUUAGUUUUGUAAAAGGAGUUAGAUUUUCAUUCUGCAAUAUACUGUAAAAGAUUGCACCCAUGGUAAUAAAUAUAGUGAACACAGGAAAUAAAACCUUCAUUUUUUAUAUCUUAAUUUUUCAUAUCUCCCUGUUUUCCAUCUGCUCACAGUGCAGGAUGGGCUAUUUUGGUCUGUAUUAAUAGAGAACUGAGUAUCAGCAUGCUCCUAAUCUUGAGCCUUCUCCCCAUGCCAAAAUAUAAUUUUUUUCUCCAAGCACUGUGGGUACUGAACAAGUCCAGCCUUGAGAAUGGGCUUAGAGUUGUGCUCAAAAGCCUGGAAGGCAAUCAGAAGUGAGCUGCUUUGGUUCCACAGCAAAUACAGAAAUAAAGGUAAAUACAGUAAUUCAGAUUAUGCAGGUACCAACAUUCUUCAUGGUCUGUGGCUCUGCCCCUCUGCCCUGCUCUGGUGGGGCCCCACCUGCAGGGUUGCAUCACCUCUGGAAGGACAUGGAUCUGUUGGCACAAGUCCAGAGGAGCACAACAAGAUGAUCAGAGGGAUGGAGCACCUCUCCUGUGAGGACAGGCUGAGAGAAUUGGGAUUGUUCAGCCUGGAACAAAGAAAGCUUUGGGGUGAUCCAAUUGUGGCCUUCCAAUGCCUGAAGGAGCUUACAGGGAAACUGGGGCAGGACUGUCUACAAGAGCAUGUAGUGACAGGACAGGAGGGAAUGAGUUCAACUUGA
rnacentral:lncRNA from 1 species